rnacentral:rRNA from 1 species
AACGAACGCUGGCGGCAUGCCUAACACAUGCAAGUCGAACGAGACCUUCGGGUCUAGUGGCGCACGGGUGCGUAACGCGUGGGAACCUGCCCUUAGGUUCGGAAUAACUCCCCGAAAGGGGUGCUAAUACCGGAUAAUGUCUUCGGACCAAAGAUUUAUCGCCUUUGGAUGGGCCCGAGUUGGAUUAGCUAGUUGGUAGGGUAAAAGCCUACCAAGGCGACGAUCCAUAGCUGGUCUGAGAGGAUGAUCAGCCACACUGGGACUGAGACCCGGCCCAGACUCCUACGGGAGGCAGCAGUGGGGAAUAUUGGAACAUGGGCGAAAGCCUGAUCCAGCAAUGCCGGGUGAGUGAUGAAGGCCUUAGGGUUGUAAAGCUCUUUUACCCGGGAUGAUAAUGACAGUACCGGGAGAAUAAGCUCCGGCUAACUCCGUG